CCUACGGGAGGCAGCAGUAGGGAAUUUUUCACAAUGGGCGAAAGCCUGAUGGAGCAACGCCGCGUGCAGGAUGAAGGCCUUCGGGUUGUAAACUGCUUUUAUAAGCGAGAAAUAUGAUGGUAACUUAUGAAUAAGGAUCGGCUAACUACGUGCCAGCAGCCGCGGUCAUACGUAGGAUCCGAGCAUUAUCCGGAGUGACUGGGUGUAAAGAGUUGCGUAGGUGGCAUACUAAGUAGCUAGUGAAAUCUGGUGGCUCAACCAUUCAGACUAUUAGCUAAACUGUUAAGCUCGAGACCGUUAGGGGUAACUGGAAUUUCUAGUGUAGGAGUGAAAUCCGUAGAUAUUAGAAGGAACACCAAUAGCGUAGGCAGGUUGCUGGGACGGUUCUGACACUAAGGCACGAAAGCGUAGGGAGCAAACGGGAUUAGAUACCCCAGUAGUC
rnacentral:rRNA from 1 species